GAAGACACAGACAGAGCGAGUCAGAGUGCGGGAGAGAGUGUCGAGAGGGCGGCGAGCUCUUCCCCAUUUCCAUGGCGACUCUGGCGGCCAUGCGCACUCUCGGUUCAGGUUUCUGCUCCGUCGUUUCCGCGGUCCUGUGUAUAGGUUGGCCUUCGUCUCUCCCGCGCCCCCUCCCCUGUUUUCUACCUUUCUUGCAGAGAUUUUAGGUGUUAGUUUGAGUUCUCCCCCCGGCCCCGUUCCAUGGCNNNNNNNNNNNNNNNNNNNNNNNNNNNNNNNNNNNNNNNNNNNNNNNNNNNNNNNNNNNNNNNNNNNNNNNNNNNNNNNNNNNNNNNNNNNNNNNNNNNNNNNNNNNNNNNNNNNNNNNNNNNNNNNNNNNNNNNNNNNNNNNNNNNNNNNNNNNNNNNNNNNNNNNNNNNNNNNNNNNNNNNNNNNNNNNNNNNNNNNNNNNNNNNNNNNNNNNNNNNNNNNNNNNNNNNNNNNNNNNNNNNNNNNNNNNNNNNNNNNNNNNNNNNNNNNNNNNNNNNNNNNNNNNNNNNNNNNNNNNNNNNNNNNGGUAUUUGUGUGAUUACAGAUAUCGAUUUUAUUUUCUCCCCAGAUUGGAGGUAGUAUGGUUGAAUGCUUAGGUUGUUCCUGUUGGUCAGAGCUGGGUGUGUAGGCGUUGGUCGAAGUUGGUUUGUAGUAGUUAUUUUUCAGAGUUGGGCAUUUUAGGGUGGGUCGGGAUGGAGAUUUGGAGCUUCUAGGGGAUAUCCAGCUCGUUUUCAGCUCUGGCGACGUGAUUUUUUGGUGUGGUUGCUCUGGUUGUAUGCUAAAUUCCAAAUCGGGUUUUUCUUAGUUCAAGAUGUUCUGUAGGGGGUAUGGGUUAGUUUUUCUUCGGAAUCUGUUAUUUGCAGUGUAAUUUUUCCUUUUCGAAUUGUACAUGGAGGUUUGGUAUGGAUGUGCAUGCUUCUGUUAAACUUAGUCUCUUUGUUUAGUAAGGUGCCACUGUGGUUAUGUACCAUUUUUGAAUGUGGUUACUGGUUAGCCUAGUGUUAGUUUUUUUCCGUCAGCACUAUUACUAUGAACUUUGUAUACUGUAUUGUUUUUGUUUUCCUAGGGAUGUGUGUAACUCUUACAGAUUUUUGUAUUUCUUGCAGGAAUUAUUGUGUCCUUGUUGUAGUUAUUUUGUACUGUUGUUUAAUGUUAUUUUUCAGAUUAUAUCAAUUUUUCUCCCAGAUUUUAGUUUACUCUAGCAUUUUUAGCAUUGUCAGAUUUUUGUUUUCCAUUGGGUAGUGAUUUCACCUUGGAUAUGUAUGCGAUUUACAUGGUUAACUUUCCUGAAACUUAGAUUUGAGAAGGCAUGUAAAUCUGAAUUUUUAAAAUAAUGUAACUGUAACAGUGUAAUUAUAGAUUUUUAGGACUGUAAUUAUAGUUCUUUUAGAACAGUAACAUACGAACAAAAUAAUAUAAACUCCAGUCCGCACCCAAUUAUAUGAGUAGUGAUGUAAAUCUGUAGUGAUUGAUUUUACACUUAGGCUUGUAUAAAUUUAGUUUCCUUUCUCUGUAAAUUUGCAUCACUAGUUUUGUAAAGAUUAAUUCAGUUUCUGGAAUUUAGAUUAAAUUUCAAUUAAGUGGUUUGUAGUUUACACUCGCCUGUAUAUAUUUACUAUUGUAUUUUUUCUGUAUUUUUGCAACAUUAGUUACGUAAAAUUUGCAGAUUAGUUCAGUUCUUAAGUGGUUUUACACUUAGGCUUGUAUAACCUUACAAAUUUUUCUGUAAUUUUGCAACAUUAGUUCUAUAAAACUUAGUUCAGUAGUUCUGGAAUCAAGAUAAAAUACGUAUCUAGCAGUUUGUAUUUCUACAGUCAUGCUUCCAUAGAUUUUACAGUUAUAUUUUCUCUGUAAAUUUCCUUCAGUAGUUCUGCAAACCUGCCAAGAUAGUUCACUUGUUAAUUGGUUUUACUCUUAGGCUUGUAUAAACUUACAACUUUUUUCCUGUAAUUUUGGAACAUUAGUUUUGUAAAACUUUAGUUCAGUUUAUGGAAACAGAUUAAAUACGUACUUUACCAGAUUGUAAUUUACAGUCAUGCUUCUACAGAUUUUACAAUUGCAUUCUUUCCGUAAAUUUGCUUCAGUACUUCCAUAAAACUUCCAGAAUAGUUCACUUCUGGAAUGAAGAGUUAAUAUGUAUUAAGUGGUUUUGUAAUUUACCUUUUCGCUUGUAUAGAUUUCCAGCUGUAUUUGUUUUUAUAAUUUUUAUCAGUAGUUUUGGAAUCAAGACUAAACAUGAACAAAGCGGGUUGUAAUUGUUUUUUGGUCUUUUUUUAUAGAUGUUACAGUUGCAUUUUUCUGUAAUUUACACUUGGACUGAAUUAAGUUGUAUCGGUUUGCAUAUAUUUACUGUUAGGUUGGUAUAGAUUUACAGUUUUAUUUUCUAUCUAAUUUUGCAUGAGCUGUAUAGCUGAAGGAUACUAUUUUCCCUUUCCAUUUUAGCAUUUGUAUAUAUGAAUGAUUUCUAUAUAAUACUUAAGUGGUUUUCCGAAUUAUACAUUAUUUACAUUUAUAUAUUACUGAGUUAUAGUUGCAUCAUUUUCCUUCAGUUCUGAUUUUGUUUUUGAUUUUUGUUUUUGAUUUUUGUAGAAACAAAAGAGGUCUAAUGGUUUUCCAGUGUCAUUAACCUUCACAAGAUAUUCUGGGAAGUUUUUUUGCUUCAGUUGUUGAUGCUUUGAGACCUAGGCAGAUUUCCAAGGUAAUGUUUGUGUUUGUGGUAUUUUCCUUUUCUUUUUCUAAUUUAUUUUCUUUUUUAUUUCAGUUCUGUAUCUUAUUCAAUAUCAUGUUGUCAAAGAGGCAGAUUUCCAAUGGAUUUUUUUUUUUUGCAUUCAGCAAAUCUGGAUCUGCUUGUCCUUGUUCUGCCCCCUGUAAAUUAGAUCACCAGUUUACUGUGUUAGUUAGUAAUUGGGUUCAUGUUUCUGUCGAGUCAAGCAGUAGGUAUCUUACAGUUUCUUGUCUGUUUGCACUAUUUUUUCAGGUCCCAAGUUGUAAAGCAUGAUCCGGUGUAAGUGCUUCCGCUGGAUUUGUAAGUCUUUUUGAUGCUAGUUGUUCCUGUGUAAAAGUCAAAUAAGCAGCUAAACAUGAUAUCUGCAUUUCUAGUAAGUAGUAACAGAACAUUGUAGGUUUAUCAAUUCUAGGUUUUCUUCUUACGGCAAACCAGUUGUCUGACAAUAGUAACUGAGUGAAUGUAUACAUUCCCUGCAGUUUAUAGCAAGUGUUAGAUGUAUAUCGACAAAACAUUAAAUAUUCUUUUGCUUCAGAAUAUAUGGAAAUUGUCUGCUCCGCAUUUACAUUAAGAAAUGAAAUGUCAUUUUCCCCAAAGAGUAUGUGAAGGAUUGUUGUCCCUGCUCAAUAUAAAAACAUUUCCCUACAUUGGCAAAAAAUGAUGGAGAGCAUGCAGUGCAGUUUUUUUUGAAGAUUCAUAUGUUUCAACUGCAGUUUUAUUUGUUUUUGAUCUGUAGUAUUCAUGUAUUUGUCUGUACAUCCCCAUACUAUUUUUCCAUAGACUUUAUGUAUGUUGGGUAGUACUAGCCUGCUCCUUAGGCGGUUUUCCUUUUAUACACUGACCUUGAAGGGUUUAUACUGUGCAUGCGUCACUGUAAAUACCUUGAUGCGUCACUGUAAAUACCUUGAUGCAUGUAUCUAUGUCGGGCAAUACUGUUUUUCUAGUUUGUUGCUUAGGUUGUUAUUCCUUUUCUACAGAGAGCUUAUAGGCUUUUUGUACUGUGCAGGUGUGUUUGUAUGAUUGGUAAUACCGAAUUUAAAGGUUGGUUCCUAGGUUAGUAUUGUUGCUUUUCCUUUUUACAGUGAUCUUAAAGGCAAUUUACUGUGUAUGCGCAACUGUUGGUAGUAUGAUUGAUGUAUGUAUGCUGGGAAAAAUUAUUUGUGUAGCCUAAUUCUCAGGUUGGAUUGUAGAUGUGUUUUACAGUUGAAACCUUAGUUUUUUAUGCAUGUAUGUAUGUUAGGGAAGACCAUUUUUCCAACCUACUUCUUACUUGGGAUUGUAGAUGGGCUUUUCAUGCAUGCAUGUGUUGUGUAAUACCAAAUUUUUACGCUGGUUCUUAGCUUAGUAUUUCUUUUGCUUUUUACAGUGAGAUUUAAGGCAAUUUACUGUAUACAUGCGACUGUAAGUUCGUAUGAUGCAUGUAUGUAUAUUGGGGAAAAACAUUUUUACCAGCCUACUUCUAAGGUUGGAUACUUGGAUUGUAGAUGUGCUCUUACAGUUGGUAUGUAGGCGAGUUACAAUUUUUAUAUUCCAGUAAAUCAUGUGUUUUUUACAGUUAAAACCUGAGCUUCUGAUGCCUAUUUUUGUAAUUUUCCUGUUGUUCACUGAUGCUACAGUUUGCUGCUUCUGACAUGUUAACUACUUCACGAGUUAUUUACUUCUCUCUACUUUUUCUGUGUAAAUGCCAACAAAUGAUGAAUUUACAGUAGCAAAAGAGUGGAGUUAUAGUGUGUUGUUUUUGUAAUCUGUUCAAUUUCUACUUGGAAGUCACUAUAUAUCUAGUUUGCUGUGGUGUGCAGUAGUCACUGAAUUUUUACAGUCCCUAAAUCUCUGAAUUCCUGUUUUCCUAUGUCAGAUCUUUCUUUAUGAUGGAGCAUUUGUGUUGUUCUUGGUGAUAGAAGUGUUCCAGGUGUGAAGAGAAUAACAAGGGAUCGAUCAGAUGUGAAUGGGAUGAAGUGAUUCUGUGAGCAACUACCAGAUUUGCCCCAUGUUCAGGUGCAAAGGGGCCUCAGAUGCAACAGUCAGGUUUAGUGCAUUUAUUACACUGUUACGUUUUUUACUGAAACUAUUUUGGUUUUCAGUCCUUUUUUGUCUCGUGAUAUAAAUUCACAUACAUUCAUUUUUUCUGUUGUUUCUUUUGUCGUACAUACAUAUAUACAUACACGUGUCAUGUUGUCACUGGAUGAAAAAAUUGAUUGAAGUCCAAUUUGUUUCGAGUCGACUGUAAUAUACACUCCCUAAAUAAAAGUAGUAUUCUAAUAAAAUAGCUAGCAUGUAGGCGGACAGGUUGAUGACUAGUUUAUAAGUGAUGAUAUUUGUGAGUUCAGAUAGCCUUCAAAAUUUAUCAUUUAAUUGGUGUACUUGUUUCUUUUUUUAUUAAUAGUUUUUUUUUGUUUUCUCAAUUUAUUCACUAAGUGAGUUAGUAUUGCCGUACGAUAUCAAAUGCACUAUAAGAUGCAAGAAAUUAAUUAAUUAUCAUAUCAUUCUAGAUUUUAUGAUCCUUGAGCUAUUACACGCUCCAAACGAGAACCAUAAAAUUUGCUGAAGCAAAUAAAAUAGAGAUCAAAUGAACUAUAAGAUGCAGGAAAGAAAUUAUUUAUAAUAUUAUAUGACCUUUGAGCUAUUACACGUCCAAACGAGAACCAUAAAAUUUGCUGAAGCAAAUAAAGGUAGCAUACACAAUACAAAUAGUUAGAAUUAUUACAUCGAAGUGACAUCAGAGCAUUAUGUUGUUAUAGCCGCAAGCAGUCUUGGCAUCGGAGGCAUAUCAAGCUCCAUUAGACCCUUAAGAACUCUGACCACUUCACCCAUUGUUGGCCGCUCCAGCUCAUUAUCCUGGAUACACCAACAUGCUACAUUGCAAACUCUUUCAACCUCAUCCAAGUUAAAGUCACCAUGUAAUUCUGGAUCUACCAAGCUCUGCACAUCUCCCUCAUGAAGCUUGUUGAUGGCUUGCACAGGGAAAAAAGUGACAUGGUCGUUGCUGCUAGUGUGCACAACAGACGCAUUCCUUCUUCCCGAUAUGAUUUCUAUCAGUACCAUGCCAAAGCUGUAAACAUCGACUUUUGAUGUAAUAGCAACCCCGCUAAGCCACUCUGGGGCAAGAUACCCUGUAGUUCCCCUGAAUGUAGUUAGAACCCGGCUAAAAUCCCUUCCUAUGACCGAUGCCAACCCAAAGUCUGCAAUUUUAGGGACAAACGAUUCAUCGAGAAGUACAUUUUCUGGCUUGAUAUCACAGUGUAUGAUGCAUUCGCGGCAACUCUGAUGCAGGUAGGACAAUCCUCUAGCAACUCCGAUGGCUAUCUGAUAUCUGGUGCUCCAGUUGAGGACUGUACCAUUGCUUUGGAACAGAUGGGAAUCAAGAGAACCAUUGCACAUGUGUUCAUAUACAAGCAGCCUCUUAUCACCAUGACAACAGAAACCAACCAAUUUGACCAGGUUGAUGUGCUGGAUCAGUCCAAGUGCACUUACCUCUGCCCUGAAUUGCUUCUCUCCCUGACGCGCACCUUCAAGCCUUUUCACUGCUACACUAGUCAGGUCACUUAGAACUCCCUUAAAUACAGUCCCAAAACCUCCUGCUCCUAGCUUCACUGAGAAAUUCUUUGUAGCACGGCCCAAAUCGGCGUAUCUAAAGGCAACAACUCCAACAUUACCUUGAUUGGUGGCCUGUGAUGACAUACCACACCAGUUGAAUCUGUUCCUUAAGAUCACCAGUAGCAGCAUGAGCAUCAGCAACCCAAAACUGAUAACGCUUGCAGCAAUAACAGCUCCAGCUGCUGGUUUUCUUUUACUAUCUCUUGUUGAACUUGGAACAUCUCCCGCAGCAAGGCGAAUGUACAGAGUAUAUUCAGAGCUGAUCUCGAUGCCAUCAUCCUUGUUUACACUGAACAACUCCCCUUGCCAAACAGAGCAUUUGCUGUCAUGGUAGGAGUAAGCAGUACAGGAGCAGUUGGUGAGGCAGGCCCAUUCGCAUUCGCUCCGAUUUGCAGGAGCAUGCUGUAAACUCUGGGGACCAUAGGGUAAUGUCACACGAGCUAUGGGUUGGAACACGUCUGUGGAACUCCUGUUGCCAUUGCAAUCCAGCGGAGUGUUUUUGGAGCACCCUCCUGUCCGGUCACCGAGCUCCCAAUCCUGAGGCGACGUUCUGGAGAAGCUCUCCAUGCACUCGCAUGGCGGGUGCGAGCUGCCGGUGCAGACGGUGAAUGGUCCGCAGGCGGCGUAUGGGGUGCAGGGAUCGGCUGGGUUGACGUAGAUGCUAUGCCAUGCCUGGUUGUCUUGCGACCACACGUUCAGCCUGGCCUGACCAAACACGUCCAUGAAGAGGAACGAAGAGAUCUCAUCUGAUGAGGUGUACAUGUAGUACUCCUCCUCCCUGUUGUUGACGUAUUCUGGGACAACCAUGCUGGUCUGUGGGCUCAUUUGCAGCAGCUUCGUGAUUGCUGGGAUCUGCAUCGACGAGUGGUCGUCAGGCGACCACCACCAGUACACUUCGGAAGGGUAGCCUCGACGCCUGGCGGUCACCAUCCUUGUGCCAUUGGUUACCAGUCCCACGCUGAAGGAGCCGAGGCCCGGAUCGAUCCGGCUCUUCCACGAGAUGCCGAGACGGUUCAGGCCGGUGACCUUGUUCCAGCCGAUCUUGGCGCCUGGGAGCAGGACGUCGGUUGGGUCGUCGAAGCUCUGCCACAGCACCUCACUUGACAGGCUUUCUAUGACGAGGUUUCCACUGCCCAAGAGGAUGGCCCUCGUGUUGCUGGUGUUGGUUCUAGCAUUGGAGAUGUUGGUGUUGGUUCUAGCAUUGGUGAUGUUGGUGGACCAGACAACGGAUUGGGUGGCGUUGUUUAAGACGACAAGGUUGCCAUCUUCUGAGACUUGAAGCUGUGUUGCUCUCAGAUCGGGUCCGGCGAUUGGCGUCUCCCGGUUUGCGACCCAGACGGGAGUGAUGACAUGGAUCUUGUUGAACCAUAUGGCAAGGUACCAAUGUGGAGAGGUGGAUGACUUGCUGCUGUUGCCGGCACCGGGCUGGAAGAAGCCAAGCGCGAACUUGCCGUUGCUGGAGACGAGCUUGUCGCCGACGGCAAAUGGCUGGCCUGGCGCGAGAGUAUCGUGUUUUGUGGCUAUGCUAGGAGGAAUAGUGUGCAUGGAGAGGAGGAGGAGGCCGAGGAACAUGUGGAGGGUAGCCAUGGCUGCUUUGCAUGUAUGUCUGCUUGCCCUUCCUCGGCUCUGCCAUUUAACGAAGGAGGCUUAGGAGAGUAGAGGAGAUAGGGAGAGCGGACGUCCUGGACGCAGCGGCAUCUGGACGCCAAUGGUUGGCCUGAUCGAGGUGAUGCGCGCAUUAAAAAUUGGUGGGAACGACAAAGACAGCAUACAUCAUUAUAUAUAGGUGAAUACCGUGGCCACAUGGCUGACACAAGGACCUUGUUUCAUCUACAGCGCGGUGGGGGUGUGCCUUGCUGCCUUCAACGGCCAAUUUUGAUGUUUUGACCUUUUUGUGAAACUUAAGCCGAAUUUAACCCUGGUCUCAAAUUUUUUUUUGGGAUCUGAUCUUUUUCUUAUCGUCGAGGUUGAUGGCGGUAGGGUAUAACUGUCUAAAGCCAUAGACCUUGGCGGUAGGAUUCGACCGAGCCGUGACGUCCGUUUGAUAUGAAAAAUACCCUAUCCUCAGGGUUCUUGACGAUAGACUGUGCAACACUACCGUCAAAAAGCCAUGCAUAGCGUCUGGCACGCAUGCCACAAGUGCGAUUUGAUAUAUUGGGUUUCAACGUACUUACUUGAACUUCUGAAGUCAACUCAGCUAGAGUCGAUGGUACUACUUCUGUCGUACAUGCAUUAUUGUAGAAGUAAAAUUACUAGGCUCCAAAGCUCCGACCAUGAAGCAGGGGGCUAUAGUACUAGUGGUACUACUCUUAGGUGAUACCAGCCCUUCUUAUAUGCUAUCAUGAUAUCAACUUAAAAAAAAUUCAAAUUUAAACUUGUCAAAAAAUUCUGAAAAAAAUUCAUGGAUGUACAAAGAAAAAAGACAAAUCCAUCAUGAUAGCGUCAAAAAAAGACAAGCAAAAAUGACACUAUUCACAUCUGAAUUUGUCUUUUUUUUGUUUUUCUAUGUGUAUGUCGAAUUUGAGCUGAAUUUUUUAGGGGUUGUCAGACAUAUAUGUCAUGAACAUCCAUGAUUUUUUUCAGAUUUUUUUGACAAGUUUAAAUUUAAAUUUUUUAAGUUGAUAUCAUGGUAGCAUAUAAGCUUUGGAAUCACCUGAUAAUUUCCGGCAAACUGAAAGCCAGCGCCCCACUAUACUCUAACUAGCACGUCAUCUUGAUGGGAAUCGCGAGGGACCGCGCAUGUAGAUGCUGCUGCAUCUAGCGAUGCAGUUCUCAGGAGGUAGGUUCAAGACAAGGAGAGGGAAGACAAUGCAGACGAAUAGGCGACGACGACGCUGCUUGCAUGCGGGCUCAAGUUCGUCCAGUUGUUGAUCACGACAAAAAUAGUGCAGACUCAGCGAAACUAGGGCCCAGGACAUGCAAUGAAGAGGCUGUUUAGUUUGUGACUAACUUUGCUAAAGAUUGUCACAUCUAAAGUUAGGUAAAUUUGACCAACUUAGGUGAGUGUUUGGUUCAAGCCACACCUUAGGCAAGCCACACUUGUGCCCCACAUGGCAUACAUAUAAAAAGUGUGGCAAAGAUUUUUUUAGGCUUGUCAACUUGUGGCUCUUAUUUUAAUGAACUAGCUUUAGACAAGUUUGACAAAAAUAUGUGACAAAGUAUGGCAAUACUAGUCCUACAACCAAACAGUCCCGAAGAAUAUGGGUCCUGGGUGUUCACAUUGGCAAAUCAUUCCAGUUAAAAAGGUGGGAGCAGCUGGAUGUCGGUCGACUGACAAAAAACUGUUUCAGUCGAUCAUACUACAGAGUACGCCAGCUGCCUAGCAGGCCCAUAAGCAAGGAAUCUAUAUUCUUUAGCGUCAAGUGCUCAUGACCGCUAGCAAGAGUCUGCAAACAAUGCUUGCUUGGGCCAUGUGCCUGUGUCCUGUAGCGUCAAGUGCUCUGCAUGCCCACGCACAUAAAAAUAAUGUAGCAAGCAAGCAAAACAUCUAACUGGUUCUGCACAUGAUGGGACCAUAUGUUUCAAUGCAUUAGGGCAUGAUUAAUAGUACAGCCAGUUGCAGUUGCUGGCUGUUUGACGUUGAAAUGUCAUUUAUAGUCAAUUUUAUAGCCAGCAAAUACAAUAGCUACAUGUAAAUGAGUACUACUUUAUUGGUACAUGGCCCACCUCCCUCUUUCACAAAGUCUUUAAGAGCGCGUGGUGCAGCCGGCUGUUAAUUUGUAAUCCGCUUCUCUUCUCUUUCUUGUUCUCUCUCUGCCAAGUAAGCAAAAAUAUAUUAUUUAAAGCCUUACAGUUCGCUUACUCACCUUAUUGUACUUGCUCUUAAGGCAUUCAGACGGGCACUUAGAGCAUGAUUAAUAGUAUAGCCAACAACCAGGCUAUAUGAAGUUGCUAUGUCACUUAUAGCUAACCUAAUAGUCCGCUCAUACAACAGUUACAUGGACUAGUAUACUACUCCUUCCGUUCCAUAAUGUAGUGCCUAUAGAUUUUUGCAAAAGUCAAACAUUACAAAUUUUGACCAUAUUUAUAGAGAAAAGUAGGUACAUCUAGAAUACCAAAUGCACAUCAUUGGAUACAUCAAGAGUUAUAUUUUCAGAAUGUAUAUGUUUGGUAUUGUAGAUGUAGACUGUUUUCUCUAUACAUUUGGUCAAAGUUGGUAAAGUUUGACUUCCACAAAAAUCUAUAGGCACUACAUUGUGGAAUGGAGGGAGUAUACAAUUAAUACAUGGCCCACUCUUUCCUCUCACAAAGGGUGUUGGAGCUCGUGCUAGAGCCGGCUGUAAACUUGUAGCCCGCUUCUCUUCUCUCUCCUCUCCUCUCUCCUCCACCUAGACAUAAAUCUGACGUGGCAUCUCUUAUAGCCCGCCUACGUCAUCCUAUUGUACUUGCUCUUAGGGCAUCUCAAAGGUGGACUCGUAAACCUCCCGCAGCUGUCCGGACCACGGAAGCCAUCCAACACGGUUGUAUCGGUCCGUGGAACGGUCCGGACGCGAUUUAUCCCGCAAACCAGAGACAAACGUGGGGGAGGUUUGCAAGAGUCCGGACACACGAAAGUCGCUCUCCGCCCUCUGGCCCAUCCAAAAGGAAGGCCGAGCCCGCGCUUUUGUAGUAUCCCGCAUUAUUUCCGCGCCAAAAUCCCCCACUCUCUUCUUCCGCUCUCAGUCGCUCUCCGUCCAAUUCCCGCUCUUUUUUCCCAUGCUCUCCUUCCCUCCGCUACCGACGCAUGGAACCAUCGGAGAACUUGUCGGAGAUGGAGCCGGCGGAGGUGCCGGGGGAUCCGAGCAUCACGCUCACUCGAAAGAUCAGCUCGGAUAGAUGCGGCAAAGUUGUCGCGUCAAAGCGAAGGCCGCAAAGGAGAAGCUGAAGAAGCAUGGCCGCCGGUGGGCCUGGUGGUUGCGAUGGGCGUGGCGGACGGCGCCAGACGGGCGUGUCCACAAUACAGAUGGCGCUGUGGCAGGAGCCUUACAAGCCUCCGUACUACGCCGCCGCCAAGCAGCUCGCAAAGCCCGUCGGUACGGUUCCUUACAUCGUUGAUGUUAACUCGGCGCCACUCUUCUCCGAGUAUUCUUUGCCGUUGCUCGUCCGGGCGAGGACGGCAGCCGGAGAGCACAUGGGUGCCCGCGCGCCGUUUGCUGCAAUGCCGAGAGCGGGGGAGCCGACGUACAACAAGGACGGCUAGGAUGGCCGGUCCGACAGGGCAGAAAUGCACGAAAUGCCGGACCGAUGUUCUUUUGGAUUCGGGCAUGUAAAAACUAAACAUAUUUGCCCUCUUUUGGUUGUGACCGAGGAUGCGAUCUGGCGCGGAUGUGGUCGGGCGCGUUGUGUGGAUCAACGUAGAUUUGAAUUUGAAUUUGCUGGUGGACAUAUACAUGCUACGAUUGAAUGGUGUCCUCCCGCAUCCGUGUCCGCGUAAUGGCCCCCCGUCCGCGGACGAACGCAGGAGAAAAUUUGAAAAUUUGUGAGUUGCCGUUGAAGAUGCCCUUACAUACAUUAUCUAUAAAAGUGUGCUACUGCUAUAUAUAACUUACUAACCAUGUACAACAACAAAUGCCCAAAACUCCCAAAAGAAGAAAAUAUUAAACCAGUUCCUAUGAAAGUUACGUUGUUCUACACAUGCACUGCAAACUCACGAGAAGGUGUGCACUAUUAACCCAAUAACCAAAGGAAGAAAAAGGCCAAUCACAUGUAAUUCUAAUACUUGUGGUGGUGUCGCCUUAAAGAAUAAAUGAAAAAAAAAGGUUUUUAAGAAAGAAUGAAUUAGUGGCAUUUCUAUUACCGAAGAAAUAACAUAUAAACAAAUUGAAAAAUAAUGAAAUUUUCUUGCAUACAAUUUACACCGGAAUUAUGGUUUUUUAUAGUCCGCAAAAAUUCACAUAUAAUAAUUUAAAGAAAAUUAAAUAAAAAAUAAAAAAUAUAUUUUUUCUAAGAAAGAAUGGAUUAGUGACAUUAGAACCCUUUAAUAAGAAAGAAGAUGACAAAACUUUAAAAAACAUGCACUGAAAUUGCACCUUUUGUAAUAUGCAAAGAAAAAGCAUAUACUAGUUCAAUUUUCGCACUCUAGUAUAAUUUAUGCACCUAUUUCGUAGUACAUGUGUGUAUACAUUUCAUAAUGAUGAAUGAAUUAGUGACAUUAGUAUUACCAUUCAAGAAAAAGGAAAAGAUAACAAAUAUAAAACAAAUAAGAACAAAAUUUUCACACAAUUUUUUGAGGGAAAUUGCACUUUUCUAAUAUGCAAGAAUAAGCAUAUAAUAGUGUAAUUUUCGAAAAGAAGAAGUUUUUUUAUUAAGGAAUGAAUUAGUGGCAUUGGUAUUUCCCUUAAAGAAGAAAUAAAAAAUAAAAUAAAAAUACUGAAGUUUCCUAAAGAAGAAUGAAUUAGUGACAUUGGUAUUGCCCUUUAAGAAGACAGAAAAAUGACAAAAUUACACAUAAAUUGCUUUUUAUAAUAUGUAAGAAUAAGUGUAUAAUAGUGAAAUUUUCGUGAAAACGAAGUUUCCUAAGAAGGAAUGGAUUAAUGGCGUUGGUAUUACCCUUAAUGAAUAAAGAAAAUGGCACAAAAACAAAAUAAUGAAGUUAUAUAAGGAAGAAUGAAUUAGUGGCAUUGGCAUUACCCUUCCAGAAGAAAAAUAGAAACAUAAAACAAAUAAAGAAAAAAUGCACAUAAUUUACACAAAAAUUGCGCUUUUUCAUAAUAUGCAGGAAUUGGUUUAUAAUAAUGAUUUUUUCGGAAAAGGAAGUUUCCUAACAAGGAAUUAAUUAUUGACGUUGAUAUUAAAUAAGAAAUAAAAUGAAAUAAAAAAACAAAUAAGAACUAUGAUGUCCUUUGUCUUGCAUCUUGUGGCAAAAUCAAACCACUUCAAAAUAAGCUGAUUGACCCCUUGUCGCUCCCCAAGGCAACAUAAGGCCGGGCGAAUCCUAGUACACCCUAGAAGGUUGCGAUUCCCUUGCAGCCACUGCGCGACCCGGGAAAAUGGUUGGCGGAUUUUCAAGAUGGCUGCAGGGGCAGCCAAUCGGUCAUCACCUUACAUCGAAGCAGCCUCUCCUCUCCCAGUGACGAGGAUUGAAGGAGGUGCGACAAUGACCGAAAGUGGGGUGGCCAGCAACUGGUUCCGGCAAUUUAUCAAGCGCCAUGGGCGGGCCUAGCGAGAGGUCGUCAGGGUUAAAAAAUUGUAUAGAGGUUGUUAGCAGUGAUAGAUUUGACGACCAGUGUGUGUACUCCAUGUGAAAAUUUAUGAUCUCGCCUCUCCGGUUGGACCAUGCAAUGCUGACCAUGCAAUUAGGAGAAUGACAUAUUAAAAGAAUGGUAGGAAAUUUACCAUACCCGACAUCUUUCAUCUCAACAUCGCCAAUAACAACAUUAGCAGUCUUGUCGUUGUUCUCAUUCUGAUGCAUGUCCCAGCGGUCCUUGCAUGAUGAAGCCCAAUGUUCUUCACUACCACAUACAUGGCACUUUCCUUUCUUCUUAAAAGUCUCCUUCUUGAAGUUGGCAUGUUGUGGGGCUUUUGUACUUGCCAUCAAAUCUUCCUUUGCCUGCAAAGUUGUUCUUGUUCUUGGGUUUGUGGGGUUGAAUUUUUUUCUUUUGUACCAAGUUGGCACUAGAAUUCCCCUCAUGGAAAGGAGCGCGUUUGUCUUUUGCCUCGUCUUCUCUUCCACAUCAACAGUGCCAAUAAGAUCGACAACAGUAAACUCUUGCCUAGCAAAAUUUCUCCACGAAGGAGGAAGCUUGGCAAUGAUGCCUCCAGGUAACACACAAUUGAGGUGCUCAAGUUCCUCUGUGAGCGACUGGAUCUCAUGAGCCUGCUCUACAACGGAGCGGUCAUCAAUCAUCUUGUAGUCAUUAUAUUGCUCCAUGACGUACAAUUCACUUCUUGUGUCCGAGACUCCAAACUUGGUCUCAAGCGCAUUCCACAUAUCCUUACCGACCAUGAUGGUCAUGAAGGGGCGACAAUCUUGUCGCCAAGAACACUCAGAACAACACCUCGAAAAAGGGUGUCUGUAGCCUGGAAAGCUUGCUCUUGUUCAACAUUAAGCUCUCCCUCUGGCUUGCCCUUAGAGGGGUGAAAACAAUUCAUGGUGGUAAGCCAAGGAACUGCCCUCGCACGCAAUCUCUUAUAAUUCACACCCUCAAACACAUAACUCAAACACAGAAGGCUUAAGAGUAGUAGCAAAUGCAAUUGGAGAAAAUUGCCUACACACAUCAGGUUUUUGGAUUGUUGAAUAAUUAGGCAUUUUUCGGUAGAAUUUAAUCCAGAAAAACUAUAGGAAAAACAUGAUAGUGAAGAUAAUCAAGACAAACAACAAAUUGUUGAAACUAGUCAUACAAUCGAAAUCAUAAGGAAAAGACAUCAUAUUUAUAUUGAUUGCUACUAGUAGUACUCCAAACACUAACCCUAACAAAAAGGAUAGAAUGACAUACAAAGCAGCAGAAGCAGAAGCAGAUGCGCCGUUCGUCAUGUCGUCGAAGAGGUCGUCGACGCUGGGGAAGAAGUCGUCGUUGGGCAACUCGUUGUCGAUCACAACCACGAUGAACAAGGAUCCAACAGUCGCGCGGAAGCGCUCCCCAAAAGCCCGAUCGCUCCUCUCCCGUACCGGAUCACAAGAGACGGAGUUUCGGAGGCCUGCUGUCUCAUUCCCCGGUACACGCCGGGAAGCGAGAUGAGAAAUAGAUAAGCAGCGCAAUGUUCUGGAACGAAGCGAUGUGUUGUGUGUCUUGUUGGGAAGAGGAACGACCUCUUAUAGGCGUGACAAUGUGAAACUGAAAAUGGACGCACUAAUUCCCAUUAAGAAGAGGAGAAACGGGCGCACUAAAAAUCCUAUUAAGUGGUCAGUUUCGUCUUUCAUUAGUAGGCCAAUCGUUUCAAUGUACUAAUGGAGAAAUGAAACCGAAACAAAACUAUUUGGUUUCAUUUUCCACCAGCGCAGAACUUUCAGCUUUUUUCUUGUCAUGCAUGAACGUGCCACAUGGGCCUAUGGGUUUCCCUACAAAUUAUUGGAUAUAACAGAUGGUCUAAAUCCCAAUAAUUCUAACAAUUAUACUGUCACGUCUUUUUACUGAAACUAUUUUGGUUUUCAGUCGUUUCUUGGUCUCGUGACAUAAAUUCACAUACAUUCUUUUUUUCUGUUGUUUCUUUUCUCGUACAUACAUAUAUACAUAUACAUGUCAUGUUACUGGAUGAAAAAAUUGACUGAAGUCCAAUUUGUUUCCAGUCAACUGUAAUAUAGACACUCCCUAAAUAAAAGUAGCAUUCUAAUAAAAUAGCUAGCAUGUAGGCGCACAGGUUGAUGACUAGUUACUAAGUAAUGAUAUUUGUGAGUUCAGAUAGCCUUCAACAUUUACCAUUUAAUUGGUGUACUUGUGUCUUUUUUUAUUAAUAGUUUUAUUUUUUGUUUUCUGAAUUUAUUCACUAAGUGAUUUAGGGGAUGUUUGGAUUGUGACUAUCUUUGCCAUAUAUUGCCGCAUUAUUUUUGCCACGCUUGUCACACUUGCCUUACUUGAGUUGCUCAGAUUGUUAGCCACACUUUGGCUUGCCUAAGAGAAUGUGCCACACUUUUUAUGUCUAUGACAUGUGGGGUUUACUGCUCACAAAAAAAAUCUUGCCUUAGGUGUGGCUAGAACCAAACACCCACCUAACUUGGUCAAACUUACCUAAGGUAAGGUGUGGCAAAGUGUGGCAAGGUGUGGCUAGGAACCAAACAGCCCCAAGUAUUGCCGUACGAUAUCAAAUGCACUAUAAGAUGCAAGAAAUUAAUUAGUUAUCAUAUUGUUCUAGAUUUUAUGAUCCUUGAGCUAUUACACGCUCCAAACGAGAACCAUAAAAUUUCCUGAAGCAAAUAAAAUAGAGAUAAAAUGAACUAUAUGAUGCAGGAAAGAAAUUAUUUAUUAGAUUAUUUUAUAUUAUAGUAUAUGAUUUUUGAGCUAUUACACGUCCAAACGAGAACCAUAAAAUUUGCUGAAGCAAAUAAAAGUAGCAUAUACAAUACAAAUAGUUAGAAUUACUACAUCGAAGUGACAUCAAAGCAUUAUGUUGUUAUAGCCGCAAGCAGUCUCGGCAUCGGAGGAAUAUCAAGCUCCAUUAGACCCUCAAGAACUCUGACCACUUCACCCAUUGUUGGCCGCUCCAGCUCAUUAUCCUGGAUACACCAACAUGCUACAUUGCAUACUCUUUCAACCUCAUCCAAGUUAAAGUCACCAUGUAAUUCUGGAUCUAGCAGGCUCUGCACAUCUCCCUCAUGAAGCUUGUUCAUGGCUCGCACAGGGAAAAAAGCGACAUGGUCGUUGCUGCUAGUGUGCACAACAGACGCAUUCCUUCUUCCCGAUAUGAUUUCCAUCAGUACCAUGCCAAAGCUGUAAACAUCGACUUUUGAUGUAAUAGCAACCCCGCUAAGCCACUCUGGGGCAAGAUACCCUGUAGUUCCCCUGAAUGUAGUUAGAACCCGGCUAAAAUCUCUUCCUAUGACCGAUGCCAACCCAAAGUCUGCAAUUUUGGGGACAAACGAUUCAUCGAGAAGUACAUUUUCUGGCUUGAUAUCGCAGUGUAUGAUGCAUUCGCGGCAACUCUGAUGCAGGUAGGACAAUCCUCUAGCAACUCCGAUGGCUAUCUGAUAUCUGGUGCUCCAGUUGAGGACUGUGCCAUUGCUUUGGAACAGAUGGGAAUCAAGAGAACCAUUGCACAUGUGUUCAUAUACAAGUAGCCUCUUAUCACCAUGACAACAGAAACCAACCAAUUUGACCAGGUUGAUGUGCUGGAUCAGUCCAAGUGCACUUAUCUCUGCCCUGAAUUGCUUCUCUCCCUGACGGGCACCUUCAAGCCUUUUCACUGCUACACUAGUCAGGUCACUUAAAACUCCCUUAAAUACAGUCCCAAAACCUCCUGCUCCUAGCUUCACUGAGAAAUUCUUUGUAGCACGGCCCAAAUCGGCGUAUCUAAAGGCAACAACUCCAACACUACCUUGAUUGGUGGCCUGUGAUGGAACACCACACCAGUUGAAUCUGUUCCGUAAGAUCACUAGUAGCAGCAUGAGCAUCAGCAACCCAAAACUGAUAACGCUUGCAGCAAUAACAACUCCAGCCGCUGGUUUUCUUUUAUCUCUUGUUGAACUCAGAACAUCUCCGGCGGCAAGGCGAAUAUACAGAGUAUAUUCAGACCUGAUCUCGAUGCCAUCAUCCUUGCUUACACUGAACAACUCCCCAUGCCAAACAGAGCAUUUGCUGUCAUGGUAGGAGUAAGCAAUGCAGGAGCAGUUGCUGAGACAGGCCACUUCACAUUCGCUCCGAGUUGCAGGAGCAUGCUGUAAACUCCGGGGACCAUAUGGCACUGUCACACGAGCUAUUGGGUGGAACACGUCUGUGGAACUGCUGUUGCCAUUGCAAUCCAGCCGAGUGUUUCUGGAGCACCCACCUGUCCGAUCACCGAGCUCCCAAUCCUGAGGCGACGUCCUGGAGAAGCUCUCCAUGCACUCGCAUGGCGGGUGCGAGUUGCCGGUGCAGACGGUGAACGGCCCGCAGGCGGCGUAUGGGGUGCAGGGAUCGGCGGGCUCGACAUAGAUGCUAUGCCGGCCUGGUUGUCCUGCGACCACACGUUCAGCCUGGUCUGACCAAACACGUCGAUGAAGAGGAACGAAGAGAUCUCAUCUGGGGAGGUGUACAUGUAGUACUCCUCCUGCUUGUUGUUGACGUAUUCCGGGACGACCAUGCUGGUCUGUGGGCUCAUGUGCAGCAACUUCCUGAGUGCUGGGAUCUGCAUGGACGAGUGGUCGUCAGGCGACCACCACCAGUACACUUCGGAAGGGUAGCCUCGACGCCUGGCCGUCACCAUCCUGGUGCCAUUGGUUAGCAGCCCCACACUGAAGGAGCCGAGGCCCGGGUCGAUCCGGCUCUUCCACGAGAUGCCGACACGGUUCAGGCCGGUGAGCUUGUUCCAGCCGAUCUUGGCGAAUGGGAGGAGGAUGUCGGUUGGGUUGUCGAAGCUCUCCCACAGCACCUCACUUGACAGGCUUUCUAUGACGAGGUUUCCACUGCCCAAGAGGAUGGCCCUGGUGGUGUUGGUGUUGGUUCUAGUAUUGGAAAUAUUGGUGUUGGUUCUAGUAUUGGUGAUGUUAGUGUUGGUGUUGGUUCUAGUAUUGGUGAUGUUGGUGGACCAGAUGGUGGAUUGGGUGUUGUUGUCUAGGACGACAAGGUUGCCAUCUUCUGAGAUUUGAAGCUGUGUUGCUCUCAGAUCGGGUCCGGCGAUUGGCCUCUCCCGGUUGCCGACCCAGACGGGAGUGAUGACAUGGAUCUUGUUGAACCAUAUGGCAAGGUACCAACCGGGAGAGGUAGAUGAAUUACUAGUGAUGUUGCCGGCGCCGGGCUGGAAGAAGCCAAGCGCGAACUUGCCGUUGCUAGAAACGAGCUUGUCGCCGACAGCAAACGGCUGGCCUGGCGUGAGAGUAUCGUCUUCUGUGGCUAUGCUAGGAGGAAUAGUGUGCAUGGAUAGGAGGAGGAGGAGGCCGAGGAACAUGUGGAGGUUAGCCAUGGCUGCUCUGCACGUAUGUCUGCUUGCCCUGCCUCGGCACUGCUAUUUAACGAAGGAGGCUUAGGAGAGUAGAGGGGGAGAUAGGUUGAAGACAACGAGAGGGAAGACAAUGCAGGCAAAUAGGCGACGACGACGCUGCUUGCAUGCGGGCUCAAGUUCGUCCAGUUGCUGAUCAGGACAAAUAGUGCAGACCUUUUUUUUGACAAAUAGUGCCGACUUGGCGAGACCUAGGACCCAGGACAUGCAAUAAAGCAUGGGUCCUGGGUGCUCACACCGGCCAACCAUUCUAGUAAAACCUUUUUCCUGGGAUAAAUAAUCUAGAAGCAACGUUAACACAUAUUUUCUUCGUUACAGAGCUCAUAUAUGAUCGUAUUUUGUACACGCAAAAUUUUGUGUAAACUUUUUCAGCAUUCCGUACAUUUAUGCAUUUUAAAUAAUUUUCUUAAAUGCAAACCAAAGAAUCAAAACCCAAGUAGAAUGUGGCUACCACUGGGGGAAGAACCUGAACCACUUGUUGUAGAGACUUUUUACGGUAUAUCAUACUACUGGAAAUAGUGGGUAGUAUAUAAUUGAUCCAAUGGUCAAAAUUGAUCCCUGAUUAAUAUUUUUAGUAUUCUAAACAUUAACAGUUUAGGGUGUCAUUGCGUCUCCUCCCGAACCACUGACCGCAGGCGAAUGUCUUAUUUCUUCACGAAGAUUAAUUAUGGAGAUACUAUCAACCUAUCAUCUCAGUAUCAUUAUACACGCCUUAUUUGUUAUGCCCAUACUUGUUUCUUUUUUUUCGAAAAAUAAACUAGAUAGAGCAGAGCAUGUUUAUUUCAUGCAUUUAGCUAUUAGUCUAUCUAACUGAGAAUAUCAUUUCAUGCUUGAGACUGGUACGGUUGUUACUUGUUAAGUACUCCCUCCAUUCCAAAUUACUCGUCGCAGAAAUGGAUGUAUAUAUUUAGAACUAAAAUACAUCUAGAUACAUCCAUACCCACGACAAAUAAUUCGGAACGGAGGGAGUAUAUCUUGAUGGUUAAGGCAGCUAGAUAUAUAAGUGUAACUGUAACAAUUGAUCUCGCAUAGAUCUCUUCUGUUGUGUUAAGGCCUGUUUGUGAGAAACAGUUCUGUUUGUUAGAAACAGUGUCUUUAAACUGUGAUAGCAGUUUUUUUAAGAAAAGGAGAAUAACCCCCGGCUUCUGCAUCUAGGAGAUGCAUACGGCCACUUUAUUAAUUAUUUUUGAGGAUCUUACAAAGUAUUACAAACAAUAUACCUGAAUCCACCAUCUUGGCAACAUAUGCCGUUACUCUUAUUCAUAUGAUGAAGGGAUGCUAGCUGGGCCACUACCCAAACCACUCACCUAAACCUAACAUCAAAAGCCGGAAGCCCCAGCCGAGCCACAUACCGGGUCUGGGGCACAAUCCGGUCAGACACACUCUUGUGUCGUCGCCGCCAUCUUCCACAAGUCCGUCUUCAGAUUAUAUUGAGUCUUCUACUUUGUGAAGGCCACUUCUGCCAUCGACGUCACCAUGACGCCAGACAGCUACCUCCUCCUGCGCGAGUCCAUCUCCGCGCAUCGGCCACCGAGCCUCGACAGCGCCAUGCCGCCGAUCUUCGCCGCCAUCAAUGAGUGAGAUGAAGAACCGCUCCACCACGGCAAGUACAAGGUGAGGAAGGGCGAGGUCGCCAUCAGAAACACGGCUGGAAGAUAAGCAUCGCAGUCACGAGACAUGCCCGGAGCAGCAACACGGUAGAUCAGACAGGCCGCCACCAGGAACCAGAUAAGCUCGCCAUGCACAUCCAGCAUCCCCAUGCCCAAGUCGGCGCCUUCAAGAAGGUGACGACGCUGUGGCGCCGCCGCCGCUUAGCCACCGGGGCUAGGGCUUUCACCCGGGCGCAGGGGAAGGGGAGAGGCAGGGGAGGUUUAGCCUCGGCGCCGCCACCAAGGAGGGAAUGGCGUCCGGGACGCCAUCGACGCCAUGACCGCCACCGGUGGCCAAGGGUUUCCCCCGGCCAAGCACCCUGCCGCCACCUCCGAACCAGACACAACAUCAGUAGGCGCGUGCACGCCGGAGAUCCAGGCUGGCCGGAAGUCAUGCAACACGAGCGGACCAGAUCGCCUCCGAUCUGACGAGGGGAGCCCGGGGCCUCCCCGCGCCAUGACCAGCGCCCACCAGGACCUCGCUGCCCGCGCAGCCGAGGAGAUCCGGUCUACCUCACCGACGAGCACUCCCCGCCGUCGGAGGAGCGCCGUCCGCCCCAGCGAGGCCGCCGCCUCAGAUCAGCCGGCGCGGAUCUGACCAGAACAAGCACAGCCGCGAAGAACACUGCGCCGUCACCGACCCGCGCGCUCCACCGUGACGUGCCGCCACCGGACAGCAGGCCGCGCCGCCCCGCACUGACCACCAGCGCGCGCCACCCGACGCGCCGGCCGCCGAGCUCCACCUCCGCGCCCGAAGAAGCAGCCCCCCGCGGCUCCUGUUCCAGGCAAGGUCAAACGAGAUCCCGCCGCCGCCGGCACCCGCCAGCGGCGGCGGGAGGAGAGGAAGGAGGUGGGGGUUGGGUUCGGCGGCNNNNNNNNNNNNNNNNNNNNNNNNNNNNNNNNNNNNNNNNNNNNNNNNNNNNNNNNNNNNNNNNNNNNNNNNNNNNNNNNNNNNNNNNNNNNNNNNNNNNNNNNNNNNNNNNNNNNNNNNNNNNNNNNNNNNNNNNNNNNNNNNNNNNNNNNNNNNNNNNNNNNNNNNNNNNNNNNNNNNNNNNNNNNNNNNNNNNNNNNNNNNNNNNNNNNNNNNNNNNNNNNNNNNNNNNNNNNNNNNNNNNNNNNNNNNNNNNNNNNGGUCUCUUUCUGUGAUAGCAGUACCUUGGUUAUAUUGAAUGCGGGCCAAUUCCUUACCAUGUUGCUGAAUGCUGAUUGAUUCGAGACUGAACUGUGGCUGGGUCCUAAGCCACUUGACCAAUUGUUUGUACGGGUGCAUGCACUCAGUGCUGUAGCAUGCAAUAGAAGAGCAUCUACUUAGAUACAAUCCCGUACGUCUGCACUCUAGCUUGACCAGUCCCAGGACUUGCAAUGAAGCGUCGUUCUUGGUGACCCAUACAACUGAACCGAGCAAAAACCACCCUUCUUCGAAACAGACAGCUGAACCACCUGUUCAGGGACCUCCCAUCUCAAGCCAUUCAAGUCUACCCAUCCCAUGGUCACCAAGCAAAAACACCACAUUGCAUAGCUACGUCUACAGGCCUGCUUAUACAGGCAACCGAACUUAAUUACUUGCGAAGUCCCUUACCUCCCCGAGCUAGUGGCGACUGGCGACCGUGUGCACCAAGAGGUGGCUGCAGUGGCCGCCAAGCUCCGGCAGCACGAGAUCCCCGUCCGGCGGCGACGUCGGCUCCCAUCCCAUGCAGCGACGUUGCAGGCUCCGCGUGCCAGUGUCCACCUACCGUCUCUCCGGCAGACGGCACCAAGAAGGCAAGAACCGCCACCGCACACACGCAGCCUGUGUAUGUGAAAGAUUGUUUCUCUUUGCCCUCUGGUCCGUCAUAGUCCUGGGCAUCAGAGUUCAAAUUAAUAAUACUUAAAAUCAAGGUAGCACAUGAGGCUGCAGAGGCGAGCAGGUGAGAGCUGCUGUUUUUAGCAGUUACAAGUUGUUAUUGUUACCCAUCGUUUUUAAUGUGAUUUCGUUCAAAUUUAUAAGGAUUGACAAAUUCAUUAUCAUUUGGAGUCCAUUAGAUAUUGUAAUGGACUGAGGCUCAGCAAUAAAAUAUGCCAUCAACUGACGCAGUUACUCCAUGAAUGUACUUUUUAAUCUUUAGAUUGUCAUCUCUAUACUUGAGAAAAAGGGGAAGUGGCCUAUAGGUCAAAACCACAGAUCCAGUGCUAAGCAUUUAUUAUGUACCGCGGAAUAUAAAUUUCCUAAAUUCGGUUGCUGCAUAUUUGGUGUUCUUAUAUAAUGACAUCCAACUGACAAUGUUAUGCUUACAUUUACUUUAGGAUGUGAGAGUUUGGCACAAAAGUUUGUCCAAUUUAACCGGCAAUGAGCAUCUGCUUUAAUUUGAUUCUGCAUUAAUGAAGUUUGGAAACUGAUAUGCCUCUGAGAGACUGAUAUUUCUGGGUUGCUGCAUCGGUGUGGGCCGUGACGGCGUAGUGGCGGUCUACGGUGGUGGUGCAGGGCGGUUCGUUGCGGCGGCGGGACAGGCUCCGGCGUGUGGCCGUUGGCGAGCUGCUCGUGUGGAUGCCCCUUGGUCCUCUAGCGGCGACAUGAUGUGGUCUUUCCGGCGCCUCGCGUCGUUGGGCGAGUGUCCGGUUCCUACCAGAUGCAGAUCCAGGCCGGGAGCCGAGGUUGGGCGUUGCAGGGUGCGACGUUGGAGAGGUGACGGGUGUGAUGGGUGGUGCCGAUGCAGUCGGGCUGCCUGUUACCGGCAGGGGUGCAGACAUCGACUUGGUCCGCUCCUGCUUCACCUCUUCUCUGACCUGCUGGCUCCCUGAUUGAUCUGGUCGUUUUGGUCGCUGCGGCCUUGUUGCCGGUCGGUGCAUCUCUUGCAGCCAUGGAGGGUCUAUGGUGUGCCUUGUUACCUGGGCGGCGGCCCGGGUGGUAGGUGCUGCGGUGCUCGUGGGCUGAGCUUGUGGCUCAGGUGCGGGCGGUUAGCGACCAUGGCCGUGUGGGCGGCGUGGUGGCUGGCGUUUUGACGAUCUGUUGUGGUGAAGACGGAGUUUUGCUGCCGGGGUGAAAACCCUGUCUGGCUUGGCCAGGCCGAUGGAGGCGGCGCCAAUGGACGUCGUCAUCUUCCUGAAGUCUCCGUUGUGGUUACUCAUUUUCCUUCGUCAUGCUCCGGAUGAAAAUCUAGAUCUUUGGAUCAGCCGGUGGCGGCGUUUUGUUCUGUCCUUCUUGAAGGCACUGUCUUGGAGCUCUCAGUUCAUCCUCAUUCAACUUCACCUCUUCGCCGGUUCUCCAGGAAGAGCUCUGGUGGCUCUUUAGCGUCUACUUCAUGUCCUUCGGGGUGGUGUUGUUGUAGGCCUUUGGCACCUAUGUAUCCGGCCUAGGGUGAGUGUGUGUUGGUGUGUUGUGUUGUGGGUUGUAUUGACCGGUUGUUGGUUGUUGCUUUAUAUAUAAAGCCGGACGAAAGCCUUUUUCGGUAAUUUUUGUUAUCAAAAGAUGCUGAUGGAUGCAGAAAGAAAGGGAACCAAAGUGCUUUUUCUUUGAAGUUCAUCUUAGAAAUCAUGUUAUCUGUCAAAGUAUAAUACAUUCAAUGGCUUACUUGCUGUUUUUAUAGGUGCUUCUUGCUGAACGAGCCGAGUGAUGUGCUCUUUCCUAAGGCCAUAAUCUGUUCAGGUAGCUGCUCUUUCUAAAGGUGAAUGGCAUGCUUAUUUUUUUUAUAGCUCUUUCAUGCUUAAUGAAUUUUUCACAUGGUCUAUUCCCUAAGGUCAAAAUGUGUUCAGGUAGCUUCUCUUGGAAAAGGUAUAUUCAUGCUUCGUUGUGUCAUCUUUGCUGUUGAGUUUAGAUUGAAUAGCCAUGUUCACCCUACUUGAGUGCUUAACAUUUAAGACUAUGUCCUACUGUUUUUUCAAGACUAUUUAUUUCCUCAUUUGCUGUUCCUCUAGUUAAUAUUGGAGCUUUACCUCAAAUAAAAAAAUUAUCCAUACCAAAAUGAUGCUAAAUAAACUGAAGUUCCCCAAUAGAACGAUAACUAAAAGUAAUAAAUACAGUUGAAACCUUUAAACACCAUAAAUAGAAGCAACAUUCUAGUAAAAAGAAAUAGCUGAACAAACUACAUGCAUUUCAGACCGAUAGAUGUGCCAACUCUUACAUGUUUCUUAUCUUUCAAAUAUGUAUGCAUAGAUUUUUGUCGCAUUUCAAAUGUGAACAUAUUCCGACAGAUGAUUUUAAUUUUCACUAAAUUACCCAGUGUGCAGGUGUACGGGUUGAUGACUAGUUUAUAAAUAAUGAUAUUUUUUAGUUCAGAUAGCCUUUAGCAUCCAGCAUUUAAUUUGCAUACUUAUGUCUUUUUAAGCAAUAGUUGUAUUUUUUAAAUUAUUGUUUAUUUUUUAGGAAAUUAUUCAUCAAGCGACUUAGAAUUCCAGUAAGAGAUCAAAUGAAAGAUGCAAGAAAGAAAUUAUUUGUUAUAUUAUUUUAUAUCUUUUGAUCUUUGUGCUGUUACACGAUCCAAACCAGAACCAUAAAAUUUGCUGAAGCAAAUAAAAGUAUCAUAGACAUUAGAAGUAACUAGAAUUAUUACAUGGAAGCGACAUCGGAGCAUUCUGCUGUCAUAGCCGCAAGAAGCCUUGGCAUUGGGGGCAUAUCGAGCUCCUUUACACCCUCAAGAACUCGGACCACUUCACCCAUUGUUGGCCGGUCCAACUCAUUAUCCUGGAUACACCAACAUGCUACAUUGCAAACUCUUUCAACCUCAUCCAAGCUGAAGUCGCCAUAUAAUUGUGGAUCCACCAAGCUCUGCACAUGUCCCUCGUGAAGCUUGUUGAUGGCUUGCACAGGGAAAUAAGCAACAUGGUCGCUGCCGCUAGUGUGUACCACAGAUGCAUUCCUUCUUCCUGAUAUGAUUUCCAUCAGUACCAUGCCAAAACUGUAAACAUCGACUUUUGAUGUAAUAGCAACCCCGCUAAGCCAUUCUGGGGCAAGAUACCCCAUUGUUCCCCUGAAUGUAGUUAGAACCCGGCUAAAAUCCCUUCCUAUGACCGAUGCUAACCCAAAGUCCGCAAUUUUCGGGACAAAUGCUUCACUGAGGAGUACAUUUUCUGGCUUGAUAUCACAGUGUAUGAUGCAUUCGUGGCAACUCUGAUGCAAGUAGGACAAUCCUCUAGCGACUCCGAUGGCUAUCUGAUAUCUGGUGCUCCAGUCGAGGACUGUGCCAUUGCUCUCGAACAGAUGGGAGUCGAGAGAACCAUUGCACAUGUGUUCAUACACAAGUAGCCUCUUAUCACCCUGACAGCAGAAACCAACCAAUUUCACCAGGUUUAUGUGUUGGAUCAGUCCAAGUGCACUUACCUCUGCCCGGAAUUGCUUCUCUCCCUGAUGUGCACCCUCAAGCCUUUUCACUGCUACACUAGUCAGGUCACUUAAAGCUCCCUUGAAUACAGUACCAAAACCUCCGGCCCCCAGCUUCUCUGUGAAGUUUUUUGUAGCACGGCCCAAGUCGGCGUAUCUAAAGGCAACAACACCUACACUAUCUUCAUUGGUGGCAUUUGACGACACACCACACCAGCUGAAUCUGUUCCUUGAGAUCACUAGUAGCAGCAUGAGCAUUAGCAACCCAAAACCGAUAACGCUUGCAGCAAUAACAACUCCGGUUAGUACUGGUUUUCUUUUAUCUCCUGUGGAACUUGGGAAAUCUCUGGCGGCAAGGCGAAUGUACAGAGUGUAUUCAGAGCGGAUCUCGAUGGCAUCAUCCUUGUUUACACUGAACAAAUCCCCAUGCCAAACAGAGCAUUUGCUGUCUUGGUAGGAGUAAGCAGUGCAGGAGCAGUUGCUGAGACAGGCCGAUUCACAUUCGCCCCGAGUUGCAGUUGGAGGAAUAUCCUGUAAGCUCCGGGGGCCGUAGGGCAAUGUGACACGAGCUACGGGGUGGAACACGUCUGUCGAACUCUUAUUGCCAUUGCAAUCCAGCGGAGUGCGUCUGGAGCACCCUCCUGUCCGAUCACCCAUCUCCCAAUCCUGAGGCGACGUCCGGGAGAAGCUCUCCAUGCACUCGCAGGGCGGCUGCGAGCUGCCGGUGCAGACGGUGAACGGUCCGCAUGUGGCGUAUGAGCGGCAGAGAUCGAUGGGCUGGACGUAGAUGGUCUGCCAUGCCUGGUUGGCCUGCGACCAUACGUUCAGCUUGGUCUGACCAGACGUGUCGAGGGAGAGGAAUGUGGAGGAGGCCUCGUCAGGUGAGGUGUACAUGUAGUACUCCUCCUCGCUGUUGUCGACGUAUUCCGGGACGACCAACCCUCUGGUCUGUGGGUUCAUCUUCAGCAGCGCUCGGAGUGCUGGCAUCUGCAUCGGCGACUCGUCGGGCGACCAUGACCAGUAAACUUGGGAAGGGUAGCCUCGGUGCCCCACCAUCACCAUCCUGGUGCCAUUGGUUUCCAGCCCCACACUGAAGGAGCCGAGGCCCGGGUCGAUCCGGCUCUUCCACGAGAUGCCGACACGGUUCAGGCCGGUGACCUUGUUCCAGCCGAUCUUGGCGCCGGGGAGCGCCACGUCGGUUGGGUCGUCGAAGCUCUGCCACAGCACCUCACUUGACGGGCUUUCUAUGACGAGGUUUCCACUGCCCAAGAGGAUGGCCCUGCUGCUGGUGGUGGUGGUGGAGGUGGCGUUGGUUCUGUUUCCGGUGAUGUGGGUGGACCAGACGACGGAUUGGGUGGCGUUGUUUAAGACGACAAGGUUGCCUUCUUUUGAGAUUUGGAGCUGUGUCGCUCUGAGGUCGGGUCCGGCGAUCGGCCUCUCCCGGUUGGCGACCCAGACGGGGGUGAUGACAUUGAUCUUAUUGAACCAUAUGGCAAGGUACCAACCGGGAGAGGUAGAUGACUUACUACUGAUGUUGCCGGCGCCGGGCUGGAAGAAGCCAAGCGCGAAUUUGCCGUUGCUGGAAACGAGCUUGUCGCCGACGGCCAAUGCGUGGCCUGGCGCCAGAGUAUCAUCUUUUGUGGCUGUGGUAGGAGGAAUAGUCUGCACGGAGAUGAGGAGGAAGAGGAGGAGGAUGCUGAGGAACAUGUGGAGAGUAGCCAUGGCUGCUCUGCACGUAUGUCUGCUUGCUCGGCCUCGGCUCGGCUAUUCAAUGAAGGAGGCCUAGGAGGGGAACUUUUGGUCUAUGGGGACAUAUGCACUCUAUAUGGGAAAAAAAUUUAGUAAUUCAACAAAAAGUCAAAAAUUCCUGAAAAUAUUUUUGAAAUAAACUUGACCUUCUAUUGUAUUCGUGAGAAAAAAAAUCCACGAAAAAAAUAUCCCUUUGACUUCUUUUCAAAAAAGACAAAUUUUUGGCUAAAAUAGUGUGAAUAGUGACCUAUAAUAGCAAAUAAAUUUUGUCUUUUUUGCUGUGAGGUCAACUUUUGUUUUUUUUUUCGUCGGGAUUUUUAUACUAGUGCAAAAGUAAGUCAAGUAUUUUGUCAAAAUAGUUCUUACCUAUUUUGACUUUUUAUUAAAAAAUUAAAAAUAAAUCCCCAUAUAGGGUGCAUAUACCACCAAGAACACAAGUGUAUUUCCCAGGAGGCCUAGGACUAUAGGAGAGGCAACGUGAGGGAAGACAAGGCUGGCGAAUAGGGGACGACGCCACUGCAAACGGGUCAACUUAACCCAGCUGUUGCCACGAGAAAAAACUUUUUUCAGCAUUCUAUACAUGUAUGCAUUUNNNNNNNNNNNNNNNNNNNNNNNNNNNNNNNNNNNNNNNNNNNNNNNNNNNNNNNNNNNNNNNNNNNNNNNNNNNNNNNNNNNNNNNNNNNNNNNNNNNNNNNNNNNNNNNNNNNNNNNNNNNNNNNNNNNNNNNNNNNNNNNNNNNNNNNNNNNNNNNNNNNNNNNNNNNNNNNNNNNNNNNNNNNNNNNNNNNNNNNNNNNNNNNNNNNNNNNNNNNNNNNNNNNNNNNNNNNNNNNNNNNNNNNNNNNNNNNNNNNNNNNNNNNNNNNNNNNNNNNNNNNNNNNNNNNNNNNNNNNNNNNNNNNNNNNNNNNNNNNNNNNNNNNNNNNNNNNNNNNNNNNNNNNNNNNNNNNNNNNNNNNNNNNNNNNNNNNNNNNNNNNNNNNNNNNNNNNNNNNNNNNNNNNNNNNNNNNNGUUGCAUACAUGUUGUGUUGUCACAUUACCUCAUUCAACUUGUUGAACAGCUUUGCAGGGACCACAUCUCAUCGGAUUCAAAGAGAUAACCGCAUGUGGUAGACACCGGAGCAAGUUGAAGAACCAACACUAGCAAGUAGCAACAUGUGAAGAAGAAACACUAUAUGGCACUAUAAACAUUUGACUGUUCAAGGCAUCAUUACAUCCACUCCGAACCGCUGACCUUUGGGGAAUGUCUUGUUUCUCCAUGAAGUUCAGUUAUGGAGAUAAUACCAUUUCAUUCAUGUACUGACGACGACCUUAUUUGUUAUGUCCAUAGCUGUUUCCUUUUCUUUUUGAAAAACAAGGUAGACAGAGCAGAGCAAGAUUAUUUCAUGCAGUUAGCCAUUGGUCUGUCUGAAUGGUGAGCUAUUUCAGAAACAAUGAAC
rnacentral:lncRNA from 1 species